rnacentral:lncRNA from 1 species
CUGGACUGAGCUAACGCAGGUGUUCCUGGCUCUGGUGCCUGGCGUAUAUCUGAAAAUAGCCUGAUGGCAGGCAAGGGAGACUGAACUUUAGGGUUGUCUGGACCCUUCCCCUCUGAGAUGGGAGUUCGCUCCGAGUCCUGCAGCCUCCCUGACUUUUCCAGGCAGCUGGACUACAACCUGAUGUCUCCUGCUGGAGAUUCUCGCUGGAGAGCAGAGGUUCAGACUUAGUGGUUUGGUGGUGGUGGCUGGAGAGCAGGAAUAUGUCUAGUUUCUGAAAGGCAGAAAAAUUGCUUUGUAUUUAAACUGCUUUUUCCUCCCAAAGGAUCCUUAAGUGUUUGCCAAGCUGCUAAGAGAGGGAGGGUCUGGCUGGCCAACCCUCUGAAGUGGUGGCAGAAGAGAAGGCAAGUGAGCCGGCCUGAGCAGCUGAGGCACCAGGUCAGCACUGGCAAUCCGCAUGUUAACCACAGGAAGGGAGAGGAUGGUGGCCUAGUGCUUCAGGUACAACCAGGAUAUUCCUCUCUGCAUCCUGUAGACACCAGUGAACAGUACAAGUUUUGCUGCCUCCUCACCUUCGCCUUUUCAGCAGCUCCCAGCUCAGCGACUUUCUUCCAUUUUCCUCCUCACUGCGCCAAGGACAACAGUUUGUCAUCGUGCUGAGUAUACCACAGCACAGCAUCGCAGGUGUGCAGCACGUGCCAGAACGACUUCCUUUUCUUCAGCUGGAACCUAAGACAAAGAAAAGAGUUUGUUGUAACGAGCCACUUACGGAGCAUUUCAUCUUGACAUUGGCAGCGCUAGCACAAGAAAAGUCAAUGCCACAACUUUCCUGCUUUUAAGGACAGCACCCAGAGGAGGAUGGAGCCUUGAGGUCCUGUGAGUGUUAAGAACGUGUUUAAGUUUUGUUUGUUUGCAAGAGAAGAACCUAAUCUGCAGUGCUGGAAAACGAUGAUACAGAAAACCACAAGAACCCAUCAUUCUGGUCUGGUCCCUGGAUUUUGUCAGAAUUUUUAAAUACUCCUUUGCAAUUAAAAUUCUCUCUUGUUUGUCUUCUUGUUAGCAAGGCUGAUUGGGGUUGGGAAGGUGCAGGUAGGCUGACAAAUGGGAUUGCCCCUAAGCAUCGAGCUGUAUUUAAUUAGCCCACCUCAACUGCAUGAACAUAGUUAGCUGGCAGCAAAAUUACCCCUUCUGGUAAGUAGGAG